GUCUCCUUUCUCUCCCUUGUGCCCUUGAGGGCCGGGUGGCCCAGGCCGACCUGGUGGUCCUGCAGGGCCCCUCUCACCUGGGAGGACAGAGCGGGGUGUGCUCAGUCAAGUGGGAGCGCAGGACCCGGAGGAGCCACACGGGUCCCUGGAUAGCACUGUCAAGGGGUGGCUUCCCAGCCAGAGUGGGUGGUCACAACGGGAUCCCAGUAGCUGUCUCCCUGCCACCACUUACCUUUGGGUCCUGGGGUGCCCACCUCUCCUUUCUGCCCUGGGGGACCUGGAAUGGUUCCAUAAGCUGUGGGGAGACAAGAGUGGUCUCAGACAAGAGGUCACCCUGGAGUUUGGGAGGUAAAGGACUUUGUUCAGAGAAGCACAGAAGGGAGAGGUACAGCUGGGACCCACAAGAAGAAAAUGGACUUAAGAAUUUAUCAGAUUUUCAGCCUUUCAAGUGUUAAUAACUGAAGUUUUUCAGGAGACUUUCUCCCACUUGAGACCAGGCCACAAGGAAGCCUUCCCUAGUUGGGCCCAACCAAGUUUAUCAGCAUGUGACUCAACAACUGUCCCAGGUCUCUCAGUCUUAUUUCUGCAAUGCUACCACAAGCCCCCUUCAGGCAGAGACUGGACUCACGUCCUCAUCCUUCUCUCCGUCCAGCCGCUCCUUCCUCCCAAGCCUUUAACACCAGGAAAUCAACUGAAGUCACACCCAGGCUCCAGAGGCAGAACCACCUGGGCCCAAUCCUGAUUCUGCUACUUCUUCGCCCAGUGG